AUGCUACGGUGAAUACGUUCCCGGGUCUUGUACACACCGCCCGUCACACCACGAGAGUUUGUAACACCUGAAGCCGGUGGAGUAACCUUUUAGGAGCUAGCCGUCGAAGGUGGGACAAAUGAUUGGGGUGAAGUCGUAACAAGGUAGCCGUAUCGGAAGGUGCGGCUGGAUCACCUCCUUUCUAAGGA
rnacentral:rRNA from 1 species